GGCGCUGUCUGUGGCGGAUCCACUCUCUUUCCCCCCUUCAGUCUGUGGAGCCCGGGUUGGUUAAUGGUAUAAGACUGUGACCGUCGGCGGGUUGCGGCCUGAGGGGUAGCGGAAUGUACAUGCAUGCAUCUCAUUGGUUGAAUGUAGAGUACUGGUUGUCGUGGCUAUGUCAAAGAGCUGGGCCAGUCUGCCCACAGGGUCUGAUGGAAGAUGUGCAGAGCCAAAUGGAGAAAAGAUUGAGAUGCUGCAUAAUCCAAAGUUUAUGCUUGAAACUUAUGCUUGAUUUUGUAAGUGGCAGUGGGAAUCAAUUAUUUCCUUCUCCUGAUUGUUUUCUCCUUCCUUACAGCCAUAUGUUGAAAUAUAUUUUGAUAUGAAGGGGCAAUACAAUAGUGCUAUUAUUUUUAAUGCAUGAAAAUGAAUAUCAGCAGGCUUAUUGUUUUUGUUCUGAGGAUAUGAGUGUCAUAAAAAUAUCAUGGGGGAGGCAGUGGCCUAGUGGUAUUAUCACUGGAUUGUUAAUCCAGAGACCCAGAUAACAUUUUGUGG